rnacentral:rRNA from 1 species
GACGAACGCUGGCGUCGUGCUUAACACAUGCAAGUCGAACGGAAAGGCCCUUCGGGGUACUCGAGUGGCGAACGGGUGAGUAACACGUGGGUGAUCUGCCCUGCACUUUGGGAUAAGCCUGGGAAACUGGGUCUAAUACCGAAUAGGACCACGCGCUUCAUGGUGUGUGGUGGAAAGCUUUUGCGGUGUGGGAUGGGCCCGCGGCCUAUCAGCUUGUUGGUGGGGUAAUGGCCUACCAAGGCGACGACGGGUAGCCGGCCUGAGAGGGUGACCGGCCACACUGGGACUGAGAUACGGCCCAGACUCCUACGGGAGGCAGCAGUGGGGAAUAUUGCACAAUGGGCGCAAGCCUGAUGCAGCGACGCCGCGUGAGGGAUGACGGCCUUCGGGUUGUAAACCUCUUUCAAUAGGGACGAAGCGUGAGUGACGGUACCUAUAGAAGAAGCACCGGCCAACUACGUGCCAGCAGCCGCGGUAAUACGUAGGGUGCGAGCGUUGUCCGGAAUUACUGGGCGUAAAGAGCUCGUAGGUGGUUUGCCGCGUUGUUCGUGAAAACUCACAGCUUAACUGUGGGCGUGCGGGCGAUACGGGCAGACUAGAGUACUGCAGGGGAGACUGGAGUUCCUGGUGUAGCGGUGGAAUGCGCAGAUAUCAGGAGGAACACCGGUGGCGAAGGCGGGUCUCUGGGCAGUAACUGACGCUGAGGAGCGAAAGCGUGGGGAGCGAACAGGAUUAGAUACCCUGGUAGUCCACGCCGUAAACGGUGGGUACUAGGUGUGGGUUCCCUCCUUGGGAUCCGUGCCGUAGCUAACGCAUUAAGUACCCCGCCUGGGGAGUACGGCCGCAAGGCUAAAACUCAAAGGAAUUGACGGGGGCCCGCACAAGCGGCGGAGCAUGUGGAUUAAUUCGAUGCAACGCGAAGAACCUUACCUGGGUUUGACAUGCACAGGACGCCGGCAGAGAUGUCGGUUCCCUUGUGGCCUGUGUGCAGGUGGUGCAUGGCUGUCGUCAGCUCGUGUCGUGAGAUGUUGGGUUAAGUCCCGCAACGAGCGCAACCCUUGUCCUAUGUUGCCAGCGGGUUAUGCCGGGGACUCGUAGGAGACUGCCGGGGUCAACUCGGAGGAAGGUGGGGAUGACGUCAAGUCAUCAUGCCCCUUAUGUCCAGGGCUUCACACAUGCUACAAUGGCCGGUACAAAGGGCUGCGAUGCCGUGAGGUGGAGCGAAUCCUUUCAAAGCCGGUCUCAGUUCGGAUCGGGGUCUGCAACUCGACCCCGUGAAGUCGGAGUCGCUAGUAAUCGCAGAUCAGCAACGCUGCGGUGAAUACGUUCCCGGGCCU